ensembl:lncRNA
AUAUUUUUGGAAGAUUUAUUGCAUUUCUAACAGUGGGAAGUGAAAGAUUGGUUUAUAUAAAAGUAAACAAACUUGUAUUAGUUUACAUGCUUUUAGAACUUGUUUUUGCUCAAAUAAUGUACAACAGUAGUUUGUAGGAAACAUAUAGUUGAUUUCUGGAUCCGCUCAUGUGUCCAGUUGAAGGGAAAGUAAUUGUUUUCCUGUCUUUCAAACUAUGAUAUCAUCAUAAUCCUCACUGUCCUCGUUAGCAGGGAUUACAGCAUCAUCAUAAUCCUCAGAGACAGUGUCUUGGUCUUGACUUUUAGUCUCGACGGCGGUGUACUGUGGAGUGAAGGUGGGUUGUUGGGGCGCAGGAGGAUUUGACACAUCCUCAAUCUCCUCAUAGUCUGACGCGGGCUCCAAAUCCUCAUUACUCUGAUCUACUGGAAAUUCAGAUAUGAUAUUGAACUGGUUACAUUUCUGUUUGCUUGUGGUGAUAUGCAGAGAGAGAAGUCUGAAAAGCAUUUAUCCCAUCCACAUUAUUUUGAAAUAUGGAAGUAAGCUAUUUUCUGUGAAUUUGCAAGAGUUCAGAAUGAUUAGUCAGUAAAUGAGUAGAACAAUUAUAAAGUGGAGUAAACUGUAAAACUAUAGUGUGUUUAUGAAUAAGACAAUAAAUACCAGUUUGUAGUAUCAAGCAGCAUAACAGGCUGUUUUGUACAGCUUAAAUAACUGGAAGUGAAUGACACCUGAAGCCAGUUACAAAAUGACUGCACUGCUUACAUUAAAAAUAAGGUGGAUAAACUUUAGAGACCCUGAGAGAGAAAAAAAACAGUCUGUCAUGCUUAUUUUGCUUCAAAAAAUAUUUUGCUUCAUGGCCAUGACCAAGGCAGGUUGUCAGGUAAGAAGGCAUAUUUAAUUUAAAAAAGAAAGUUUUGAAAUGAAAAUUCUAUUAUCCUUUGCUCACUCUUGUUCCAAACUUAUACAAGCUCUUUUGACAGUAGCCAUUGACUUCCAUAUAUUGGGGAAAAUACUGUGGAAGUCAAUGGCUACCAUCAACUCAUACAGGUUUGGAACAAUAUGAGGGUGAGUUAAAAAGAUCCUCCACCCCAAAAUGAAAAUUUUGUCAUUAAUCACUUACCCCCAUGUCAUUCCAAACCUGUAAAAGCUUUGUUCGUCUUCGGCACAUAAUUUAUGAUAUUUUGGAUGAAAACCGGGAGGCCUGUGACUGUCCCAUAGACUGCCAAGUAAAUAACAGUGU